GUGCCUUUGUGGUAACUUCUUUUGCACAACAAGCAAACAAAAGAGUAUUUCUGGUUUGCUCAACAUGUCUACGAGCAGGGCUCAGAGUGCAGAUAAUGGCAGUUCUAGCAUUUCCACCCAAAGCAGGCUGCAGUAACCGUGUCAGCUUAGAAUCUCUAUAAUUGAUGUGUCCAUAUCUCCCCUUGCUUAGCUUGCGAAUGACAGUUCCUAGAGUCAGUAAACUACGGUUUAUGUGGCAUCCUUCUUUCAAUCUUGCCCCAGUGGGUAAUGCCUGAGAUGCACGCUCACUUCCUGCCAAAUCAACAAAAUUCACAGUUGCUGAAAGAGUUGUAGAAUUUUCUUUGCCUAUGAAUUCACGAGCAGAACUUUCAAUUGUCAAUCUAAGAAUUUGAUGAGAUCUGGAGCUCUUCUCAUUCAGGGAGGUCUCCCCAAUCUGUCUUUGACCUUCACAAAUGGAAAGGAGCUCCUUCAGUUGACUCCAGUCCUUUAGUGUUUCCUCCGUAACUUUCUCAAUAAUGGUCCCUUUCUCUGGAUCAUCUAGCAAUCUAAGUGGAGUAGAAUCCAUGCUAAGAAGAUCCCUAAUAGCUUCAUUGUAUAUCUCAAUUGCUGAGAACUUCAAAACGAAUGCUCUGUCUUCAUGCCUAUGUAUAUAUUCAAAUAUAUCUGCUACCGUAUACUCAGUUAUCCCCGUCAUGGUGUAUGUCUUUCCACUGCUUGUCU
rnacentral:misc_RNA from 1 species